UCUAAGCGUAAAAAGUAUUGGGGAAAGCCCCAAGAUUUAAGCAAAAGAAAACUGCAGAUGUUUGAUAACAACAGCAACUACAACGAAGCUGAGGCUAUAGCUACAAUACCACCAAUAGUUGUUGUUGUAGCAGUUUGUUGUGUUCUAUCUUUCGCCUGCUUGAUUCUGUUGAGUGUCAAGAUCCAGGAACUCUGCGACUAAGAUGGGGUGCGUCCAAAGGGAUCUGGUCUGAGUCGAGUAGGUCUAGCUGGCUCUAGAUCUACUAGAUCUACCUUAAGGCUUCUGGGCGGUGGAUAUCUAUCCACAAGAUGAUGAAUUGGAUGGUGUCUACGAUAACAACAACAUGUAGUGCUCUCUUCGCACUGAGGCAGCCCGUCGCAGAUUGGAGGGCGGCAUUCUGACAGAUCUGAAUAUUAUUCCACUCCGUGUCACAGACCUGACGAGACCGCACUGGCGCUGCAUAACUUACCACAGACCGGCCAAUUGCUUUGUACGUGCUGCCGGCAAGUGACUUUAGGACCUUUUUUGUAAGACUCUAUCGCAAAUUGCUGUGGCAUGUGGGCCGAUUGGGCUGACUUCAGAGAGUAUACCAAUCGCCGCUUCAGUGAACUGCCACCCCCUCUGAUGUGCUGGUGGCAGAGAGGAAAUUCCGAGACAUCAUUAACGCAGCAGCCGCUCGCUUUAGACCAGCCGGUCGAAUACCCCAAAUGCGGUCCAAUUUCCUGGACGAGCGUGAUGGGAUUCGUGUAUGGACCCCGCUAACUCCAGAAUCAGCGAGCUGAAUCUGGAAAUAAACAGGGUAGUCAACGAACAUAAGAGGAAUUUGUGGCUGGAACACUUGAAGCAAUAUAACUUAGGCACCGGUGUUGGAAAACUGUGGUCUACUGUUAAGUCGCUCUCGAACCCCGGCAGAUGGGAUGACAGGACCUCAGUCACUUUUGGCGAAAUAAGCGUGACUGAUCCGAAGAGAUGCGCCAGGUUGUUCAACCGUCAAUCCCGAGAGAGACAGGUCAAGGAGGGUAGCCAUUCGCCGUAUUCGUGGUCUCCGAGCCGAUGAGCAGCUAUCACAAUUUACCGCGGGCGAAGUUACGAGAAUGACAUCCGUGGCGCCGAAUCAUCUAAGGCGUUGGGACCCGACGGAAUCUCUACAUUGAUGUUGAAGAAUCUGGAUUCACCUGGAGUUGAGUACCUUACUACUGUCCUCAACCUGUCUUUGAACACUCUUAUAGUUCCCAAAGUCUGGAAAAAGGCAAGAGUGAUCCCGCUACUGAAGCCUGGAAAAGACCCGAGUUUGGGGGAGUCGUACAGACCGAUCUCCCUUCUCUCACUAGUGGCAAAGACGCUUGAGGUAUUACUCUCCCCGAGCCUCGUAGGAGAAUUCCCAUUCACCGAGCAUCAACAUGGAUUUCGAAGACUGCACAGUACAACAUGCAUGCCAUCACCGCAUACAUUUGCCUUCAUUUGUGGCUUCAAUCAGCCCAGGCCAUGUAAUAGGACGGUCCUCGUUGCACUGGACCUAUCGAAGGCAUUCGACACGGUCAGCCAUGCGAAAUUAUUCGAGGACAUCGCCAACACGUCCCUCCAGCCACGUCACUUGCUGGCAGCACUUGGGGUGUAGACAAAGAAACCUUGUUGACCACGUACAAAGCAAUUGGCCGGUACAAAGCAAUUGGCCCGUCUGUGGUAAGUUAUGAAGCGCCAGUGUGGUCUCGUCAACUUUGUGACACACAGUGGGAUAAUAUUCAGAUCUGUCAGAAUGCCGCCCUCCGAACUGGGACAGUUCUCAUGUGGACCACCUCCAUCAGGAGACAAAGAUCCUACCAGUGCGAAGACAUAACUACAUGCUGUCUAAGCAAUACCUUUUGGGCUGUUAUCGCAGAGACCAUCCAAAUCAUCAUCUACAUGAUCUAGAGCGUGAGGUUCAGCGCUACAAGAGAGAACCUCUAGAUCGCUUGGCAUAUCAAGCAGGUCUAAACAACAUUCAUGCAGACACGGUAGCUGAUGCGGUAAAUGGCUACCAGGUGAAUGUGGUCCUUGGAGAACGACCGCCGGCCAUGACACCUGACGAAAUUGACCUCCCCCGGCAAACCAGACUAGUUCUGGCUCAAUUACGUUCCGGCAGAAGCAGCCGCCUCAACUCCUCAAAGCAAGGAUUGAUGCCGACGUGCAAGAUGUAUGUCCCGAUUGUAACCAGGGACCGCACGACACACGUCACCUGUUUAACUGCCCAGCCAGAACUUAUCGACUAAGACCCAGAUCCCUGUGGACGCACCCCAUCUUAGUCGCAGAGUUCCUGGGUCUUGACAAUAGAAUCAAUAGAAUCAAGCAGACGAAAAAUAGAACACAAUAAAUAAUGUGUACGGGCAAUCUCUCUAAUGCCAUUAUAAAACAAAUGAAAAAUGGAUAGAUUUCUUCACAACAUAAACCAUACAAUGUAGACCUGAUCAGACCAAAUCACUAAUACUAGUAUUGUUUUAAAUAAAUUCGAGCCAAUUUUCGAAUUCACACGCUGAGAACCCUAAGAUCUGAUAUAUAGCCUCAUUUUCGGCUUAAAAAUUAGACACUCCACACCUAACUAAGAGAGCUCUGUUAGUAUGGCUUUACCCCCUGUUUUUUUAGUUUUUCUCUCUCUAGUUUAUAAUAAUGGAUAUUUUUCUUUUCUCAAGGAGAACGGACACAAAGUACACAAGACAAAUUUUGGCAUGCGCUAUGGAUUUCAGGGGGCCUCUUGCCACUCCCCGGCAGCUCUGGAUAGCCACUGGACGCUUGGAUGUCAUCUUCAUGGACAUGAAACAAAAACGAAAAACCACAACCACAUUAUCUCUAUUUAAGGGCACACAAUCACACUUACUUUUUAUAAUAACACAACAGUCACCAAUAAAAAAAAGAAUUAUUAACAUUUA